AGUCGAGCGCGAAUAGGGGCAACCCUUAGUAGAGCGGCGCACGGGUGCGUAACACGUGGGUAAUCUGCCCUAAAGCCUGGGAUAACCAGCCGAAAGGUUGGCUAAUACCGGAUAAGACCUCGGACUCCUCGGAGUCUGCGGGAAAAGGUGGCCUCUGUAUACAAGCUAUCGCUUUUGGAUGAGCCCGCGGCCCAUCAGCUAGUUGGCGGGGUAAUGGCCCACCAAGGCAACGACGGGUAGCUGGUCUGAGAGGACGAUCAGCCACACUGGAACUGAGACACGGUCCAGACUCCUACGGGAGGCAGCAGUGGGGAAUUUUGCGCAAUGGGCGAAAGCCUGACGCAGCAACGCCGCGUGUGUGAUGAAGGUCUUCGGAUUGUAAAGCACUUUCGGCCGGGACGAAAACCCGGAGGCUAACAUCCUCCGGCUUGACGGUACCGGAAGAAGAAGCACCGGCUAACUCUGUGCCAGCAGCCGCGGUAAUACAGAGGGUGCAAGCGUUGUUCGGAAUUAUUGGGCGUAAAGCGCGUGUAAGCUGCUUUGCAACUCGGAUGUGAAAGCCCUCGGCUCAAACGAGGAAGUGCGUCCGAUCUGCGGAGCUAGACUAACAGAGAGGACGACAGCACUCCACCGGAAUAGGUGAUAUUC
rnacentral:rRNA from 1 species